UCGGGGUUAAUACCCCUGGAGGAUGACGGUACCGGAAGAAUAAGCACCGGCUAACUACGUGCCAGCAGCCGCGGUAAUACGUAGGGUGCGAGCGUUAAUCGGAAUUACUGGGCGUAAAGCGUGCGCAGGCGGUCCGCUAAGACCGAUGUGAAAUCCCCGGGCUUAACCUGGGAACUGCAUUGGUGACUGGCGGGCUAGAGUAUGGCAGAGGGGGGUAGAAUUCCACGUGUAGCAGUGAAAUGCGUAGAGAUGUGGAGGAAUACCGAUGGCGAAGGCAGCCCCCUGGGCCAAUACUGACGCUCAUGCACGAAAGCGUGGGGAGCAAACAGGAUUAGAUACCCUGGUAGUCCACGCCCUAAACGAUGUCAACUAGUUGUCGGGUCUUCAUUGACUUGGUAACGUAGCUAACGCGUGAAGUUGACCGCCUGGGGAGUACGGUCGCAAGAUUAAAACUCAAAGGAAUUGACGGGGACCCGCACAAGCGGUGGAUGAUGUGGAUUAAUUCGAUGCAACGCGAAAAACCUUACCUACCCUUGACAUGUA
rnacentral:rRNA from 1 species